GGGGCCGUAGCUCAGUUGGGAGAGCGCGACGUUUGCAACGUUGAGGUCAUCGGUUCGAUCCCGUUCGGCUCCACCA
rnacentral:tRNA from 1 species